UGGCUAAUCUUUGUAUUUUUAGUAGAGACAGGGUUUCACCAUGUUGGCCAGACUGGUCUCUGAUCCACCUCCCUUACUUCCUCUUGUAGUGAUGGUAUGAACCCAAGUAGAGUGGUUUAUAGUGGAGAAGAGACUGUAGCACCUCCAUGGAAAUAAAAAAAUGAGUUUGAGAUUCUUAGUAAAGGUGGAGGCACUGCCCCAUGUGAAAGACUAGCUUUUGGACACAGUCACAACUAUGCCCUGUCAGCCUUGACACAGGAUGGGACAUUCCUUUUGGCUUGAUUUAGUUCUUCCUCCUUAUUCUCAUUCACUUCUGUUAAGAGCUGGACUUAAGGCCUGACAUUUCCCAGUGGCAACUUGUCUUGUUCUAAGAGGGAACUUCUGACUAUGAAAGCCUACUUAGUGAGCCCACUUUGUUGGCUAAAGCAGUGAAGAACUGGACAUAGCUAAUUAGCUAUUGGCUGAUGGCUUGAAUUUCUUAACAUUCAUUUGAUUCCUUCCUUUCAGUUUGGUCAGAUGAAGACUGGGCGGAGAAGUUUUCUGGGAAGAGGAUGAAAAGAAAGAUGGUUCAGAACCUCCCAAAGUGGAAAGCCAAGAGAUGAGAAUGAAAGUUCAUGCUUCCAGAGGAGAGGCUGCUGCUUUCCACCCAAGGAACUGAGGUGAGUGGUGUUGGGUGAAUUGAAAGGAGAAGUUUUGGGUUUCUGAUCUAGGUGAGAAGUACCUUAUGUGGGCUCAGGGAUUUGUGAUUGCUGCUGAGUGAGGCAAAUAUCUGAGAUGAGAAAGGGUGGUGAGUACUCCCCAUCACCAGCAUCCACUGUCCUAGUCUUUGGCAGCAGGCUCACUGUCUUCCUGUUCCUGCCCUGAUUCCAAGGGGGCAGAAUCAUGUAGAGGUCCCUUCCCCUCAGUCACUAUGCAGGCACAAGGCUCUCCCCGCCCUCUGUACUUGCUUCUGCUUCUCCAUUAGACCAUCCUGACUAUUGCUUCCCAGGAUAACUUGGGGGCUCCUCCUCCUCUGUCCACCCUUGAGCAGUGAUAUUUUCCUGAAUUCCUUUCUUAGCCUUUAGCUCCUCUCUCCACAUUAUCCUUGUGCCAUGCCAGCCACUUCUAUCGCCUAAGGUUAUAACGAUCAUUCAUUGUCCAAGUGAUAUUCUGAUCUCUAUCCCUAGCCCUGACCUUUCACAUGUUUCUGUCUGGAAGUCUUAUAGGCACCAUAAAUAAAGCAUAUCCCAAACGGUUGUCAUCACCUUUCACUCUUGUCUUCCUUUAUGCCCAGUCUUGGUUCACUUUGCCGUCUUCAACAUAGUCACACCCAAACCAGAUUCCCCAGUCCCAUCUUAGACCCCUCACUAUAUUUCAUACCUAAUACAUUGCCAUACCCUGCUACUUUUAUCUUUUAAAUCUUGCAUUUCUCCUCUCCAGUUUUUUUCUGCCGCUGUUGUCUUGGCUGAGGCCUUAUCCUCUCUCCUGUGAAUAAUUGGAGUAGCUUCCUAACUGGUCUACCUGCCUCAGGCCUGCUCUCCUCCUGUCCUCAGCAGCCAGAGGGAGCUUUCUGAAGGGCUGAUCUGACUAUACCACUCUCCUCAUUUAUAGGAUUGACUCCAGCCUCCAUCAAAAGAGACGGAAGGCCUCUCUGUGUUCUGACCCCUGCUUAUCUCUCCACAUUUUAUCCCCAUUUUUUUUCUAGGAAACAAGAAGUUUGUAGAUAACCUGUAAAUCUCUGUUUUGAUGUAAGUCAUUUCUCUGCCUGCAGUGUCCUUUCCAACUUAUUUUAUGUAGCUAAUGCCUGCCCAUUUCUCAUAGUUUAGCCCAUUUACCACCUUCUCCAGGAAGCUUUUCUGAAUCCUGCAGUGAGUGAGAGAGAGCCUGCCACUAAAAAGGCCUGGUCAAAUCUUCAGGUGUACAUGGAUUGGGAACAAGCUGGCCGGCCUCAUCCGGAUGCUCCUGCAUUCUGACGUCAUGCCCAUGACAGCAGAGAAUUUUCGUUACCUGUGCACCCAUGUAAAGGACUUGGUUUCAAGGGAAGCAGCUUCCACCGCAUCAUCCCCCAGUUCAUGUGCCAGGGCAGUGAUUUCACAAACCACAGUGGCACCAGGGGCAAGUCCAUUAACAAGAAGAAGUUUGAUGAUGAAAACUUUAUCUUCAAACACACAGGACCAGAUCUGCGCAGGCAUGGCUUUAUGUGUCCCAUGACACAUUUGACCCUCAUGGAGGCCUCAAAAGGGCAAGACCAGCACCCUCUUCUACAGAGGAAGGAGCAGGCACAGCAGGUACAUGAUGUUGUCAAAUUAACAAGAGGCAGAGGCUGGGUACAGUGGCUCUUGCCUAUAAUCCUAGCACUUUGGGAGGCUGAGGUGGGAGGAUUGCU